GUCAAUCACCAUCGGACAAGUCCGGUGGCCUGUCCGCGAGGACAAGAUAUUCCGCAAGGAGAAUGAUUGAUUAGGAGGCAUUGAAAGAUGCAGAGGUUAGAAGAAAGAGAUACAUACACACCACCGAAUGCUUCACAAGUUCGGUGCAACUGUGAUCCGGCAUUAAACAGAGAGGAAACUCUCAGUGUGCCGGGUUUAAAAACCUCUUCUAACAACUCCGAUGUGAACCAAC
rfam:Candidatus Methanoperedens sp. DS-2015 MPEBLZ_contig000369, whole genome shotgun sequence.